rnacentral:rRNA from 1 species
UACGUAGGGCGCGAGCGUUGUCCGGAAUUAUUGGGCGUAAAGAGCUCGUAGGCGGCCUGUUGCGUCCGCUGUGAAAUCCCGGGGCUCAACCCCGGGCUUGCAGUGGAUACGGGCUGGCGUAGAGGCAGGCAGGGGAGAACGGAAUUCCCGGUGUAGCGGUGAAAUGCGCAGAUAUCGGGAGGAACACCGGUGGCGAAGGCGGUUCUCUGGGCCUGUACUGACGCUGAGGAGCGAAAGCGUGGGGAUCAAACAGG